rnacentral:rRNA from 1 species
AUUGAACGCUGGCGGCAUGCCUUACACAUGCAAGUCGAACGGUAACGGGCCUUCGGGUGCCGACGAGUGGCGAACGGGUGAGUAAUGUAUCGGAACGUACCAUUGAGUGGGGGAUAACGUAGCGAAAGUUACGCUAAUACCGCAUAUUCUCUCCGGAGGAAAGCAGGGGACCGCAAGGCCUUGCGCUCUUUGAGCGGCCGAUAUCAGAUUAGGUAGUUGGUGGGGGAAAGGCUCACCAAGCCGACGAUCUGUAGCUGGUCUGAGAGGACGACCAGCCAAACUGGGACUGGGACACGGCCCAGAAUCCUACGGGAGGCAGCAGUGGGGAAUUUUGGACAAUGGGCGAAAGCCUGAUCCAGCAAUGCCGCGUGCAGGAUGAAGGCCUUCGGGUUGUAAACUGCUUUUGUACGGAACGAAAAGCCCCGGGUUAAUACCCUGGGGUCAUGACGGUACCGUAAGAAUAAGCACCGGCUAACUACGUGCCAGCCGCCGCAGUAACAC